GGCAGCGUGGUGUAAUGGCUAACACAUCAGUACGUUCUACUGAAGAUGCUGGUUCGCUCCCAGCCGCUGAUU
rnacentral:tRNA from 1 species